UGAGGAAUUUUGCGCAAUGGCCGCAAGGCUGACGCAGCAACGCCGCGUGGGUGAUGAAGGCCUUCGGGUCGUAAAGCCCUGUCAGGUGGGAAGAAAGGCCUGGAGAGGAAAGGCUUCAGGUUUGACGGUACCACCAGAGGAAGCACCGGCUAACUCCGUGCCAGCAGCCGCGGUAAUACGGGGGGUGCGAGCGUUAUUCGGAAUUACUGGGCGUAAAGCGCGUGUAGGCGGGGGGACAAGUCUGAUGUGAAAGCCCUGGGCUUAACCUGGGAAGCGCAUUGGAAACUGUUUUUCUUGAGUACUGGAGAGGAAGGGGGAAUUCCCGGUGUAGAGGUGAAAUUCGUAGAGAUCGGGAGGAAUACCAGUGGCGUAGGCGCCCUUCUGGACGGUAACUGACGCUGGGACGCGAAAGCGUGGGGAGCAAACAG
rnacentral:rRNA from 1 species